rnacentral:tRNA from 1 species
GGGGCGGUAGUCUAGCCCGGCUAUGAUGUCUCGCUUACACCGAGAACUGUAUUGAGUUUCAUACUUGGUACGCUCGAGGGUCGCUGGUUCAAAUCCGGCCCGCCCCA